UGCAGCCCAAAGGCUGGACCGUCAUGGAGAACAGUUCCGGUAGCCUUCCCUUCGUACCUGCUACACGGAAGUGGUCGAGGCGUACCAAGCUUACUCGCCCAAAGCUUCCUCAUACCUUGUUUCUGGAGGAUGAGAAAAAAAGCUCAUAUUGUUGAAGUAGAUGGACCAAAUCCUUUUACAGCAGCUGUCCCCCCUCCCUCUCCAGAAGCUGUUGCAGAGGAGGAGAUCAAUGAGGGGAUACCUGUAUCCACCGUUCUCGAUGCUGUUAAAGAUAAAAUGAAAGCUACAGCCCAG